AGCAAAUCCAAGACGGGACGCUGGGGGAAACGGCCAGGACACGGGCCUUCUCGGACGUUUCCUCUGAGAGUGUUCGGGGCUGGAGGGACUUGAGGAAGCUAAUUUACCUGCCUGAGGCCACAGAGCCAACUGCGACUGAUUCCACCUGGUUCUGCCCUCCUCUAAAGGGUCCGUCGGAACCUUCUGCUGCUUGUGGGAACCGAGGACACUUUCCCUGUAGAAGGGCUGAUUCAAAGGCCAAGUUCAAGUAAGGAAAACGUGCUAAGUGGAAAAGUGAUUAGACUGACUUCCGAAUGGCUCCAAAGGGAUGAGCUGCCUUCCCUGAGCAGGACUCUGGAGGGAGUUUGCCUCUUUGUCUUGCACAGCUCACACACUCCUUUCCCCAACCAGGCGAUGGUCUUGUUCAUUUCUGCAGCUCCAGAAUCAUGUCCCAGUCCCUGGAAAAUCAAGAGCACUCCGUAAACGUGUGGUGAAGGGAUGGACGGUGCAGGUCUCCCCGGGGCCAAUUCCUGCUUCUGAACUGGGGCAUGUCCUUGGAUGUAGGAACAGCCCCUGGGGCUGAGCUGGCCCCUGCUGGAGGGGCCCCAGAGCCAGGCACCCCGAGUUCCACGAGUCCCUGCAGCUCCUGUCCCCUGCCAGCCCCACUGAGGAAUGAGCUCUCCGCUGGGAAUCUGGGCACGCAGAUGUAGUCUGUAAGAAGGGCUUCUGAAUGCGCGUGAAGAUGCGUCUUUGAAGGACGCUGGUCUCCUGGGGCACCCUUGGCCAAGGGCUCCACUGUAGCUCCAGCCGACCUGCCUCCCAGCUCCAGGGUCUGUCCCGAUGAGUCCGAGAGAUGAGAUUGUUGGUAGCUCCUCAAAUUGCAAUAUGGGCAACAUGUGCUGCUUCCCAAGAUCAGGCAGUCUAACAACCAGGCUUCUCUGCCCUGUUUUCCUGAAUCUUGGCUCCUUUGAGGUCAGGUAUCUGAGUGUCCACUGAUGGCUGUCACUGCUGUGUGUUUAGAGGAUGAGAGAGGCGUUUGUGCCAUUGGGUUUUCUAUUAGGAGAGAAAAAAGACAAAUCAGCUCACUGUUGCUUAUGCCCAGAUCCUGGUGAAGAAAAAUUCUUGGGAAUGUUUAGAAGGAUCUUGUGGGCCUGCUGGUCUUUCCUCCAGCACAGGAUGCAAAGUCGGCCCCACUUUUCUCCAAGCAGCUGGCACUUGGACCGGGGCGGAUUUCUGCUUCUGGCCAAGAUGGAGUAACAGAGACCAGCUUUACCCUCUCUCCAGAAACAGCUAAAAAUCUGGGCAAAAUAUGUGAAACAAGACACUGUAUCUCAGAUAAUGGAAACCAGUCAUGCCCAG